rnacentral:rRNA from 1 species
GAUGAACGCUGGCGGCGUGCCUAAUACAUGCAAGUCGAGCGAACAGAUGAGGAGCUUGCUCCUCUGACGUUAGCGGCGGACGGGUGAGUAACACGUGGAUAACCUACCUAUAAGACUGGGAUAACUUCGGGAAACCGGAGCUAAUACCGGAUAAUAUAUUGAACCGCAUGGUUCAAUAUUGAAAGACGGUUUUGCUGUCACUUAUAUAUGGAUCCGCGCCGCAUUAGCUAGUUGGUAAGGUAACGGCUUACCAAGGCAACGAUGCGUAGCCGACCUGAGAGGGUGAUCGGCCACACUGGCACUGAGACACGGUCCAGACUCCUACGGGAGGCAGCAGUAGGGAAUCUUCCGCAAUGAGCGAAAGCCUGACGGAGCAACGCCGCGUGAGUGAUGAAGGUCUUCGGAUCGUAAAACUCUGUUAUUAGGGAAGAACAAAUGUGUAAGUAACUAUGCACGUCUUGACGGUACCUAAUCAGAAAGCCACGGCUAACUACGUG